GGGGGGCCGGUGAGGUGGGCAAUCAUUGACCGCCUUUUUCAAGCGUGUUUCGAGAUAGCACGGUAUCCUUCCAAGGAACUUUAUUGCACUGCUGUGGAGCAACUAAUUCAAAAAUAUCCGCACUUGCGUGACAAAGUGAAGAAAGGCAGUGGCAUGGACAACAAUGACCUCAUCGUUUAUGGGGAGACCCUGGAGUCACUGCUUUCUCGAUUUGAGCUACACAAAGCCACGGGUGAAAGCAUUGGAGUUAGUCAAUUUUUGCAAUAACUUUUGCUAGGCAAAAAAAAAUUUCAGAUACAUUUC